rnacentral:rRNA from 1 species
CGCGUAGGCGGCUCGGAAAGUCGGGCGUGAAAUGCCGGGGCUCAACCCCGGGACUGCGUCCGAUACUUCCGAGCUGGAGGUAGGUAGGGGAGAUCGGAAUUCCUGGUGUAGCGGUGAAAUGCGCAGAUAUCAGGAGGAACACCGGUGGCGAAGGCGGAUCUCUGGGCCUUACCUGACGCUGAGGCGCGAAAGCUAGGGGAGCGAACA